UACGGGAGGCAGCAGUGGGGAAUAUUGCACAAUGGGCGAAAGCCUGAUGCAGCUAUGCCGCGUGUAUGAAGAAGGCCUUAGGGUUGUAAAGUACUUUCAUCGGGGAGGAAAAACAAAACUAAUAAUUUUAUUUCUUGACGUUACCCGAAAAAGAAGCACCGGCUAACUCCGUGCCAGCAGCCGCGGUAAUACGGAGGGUGCUAGCGUUAAUCAGAAUUACUGGGCGUAAAGAGCGCGUAGGUGGUUUUUUUAAGUCAGAUGUGAAAUCCCUGGGCUUAACCUGGAACUGCAUUUUGAAACUGAAAUACUAGAGUAUCGUAGAGGGAGGUAGAAUUCUAGGUGUAGCGGUGAAAUGCGUAGAUAUCUGGAGGAAUACCUGUGGCGAAAGCGGCCUCCUAAACGAAUACUGACACUGAGGUGCGAAAGCGUGGGGAGCAAACAGGGAUUAGAUACC
rnacentral:rRNA from 1 species